AAGGGAGCGCAGGCGGUUGAAAUAGUCUGAUGUGAAAGCCCACGGCUUAACCGUGGAAGGUCAUUGGAAACUGUUCAACUUGAAUACAGAAGAGGUAAGUGGAAUUCCAAGUGUAGCGGUGAAAUGCGUAGAUAUUUGGAGGAACACCAGUGGCGAAGGCGACUUACUGGUCUGUAAUUGACGCUGAGGCUCGAAAGCGUGGGUAGCAAACAGGAUUAGAUACCCUGGUAGUCCACGCCGUAAACGAUGAGUGCUAAGUGUUAGGGGGUUUCCGCCCCUUAGUGCUGGAGUUAACGCAUUAAGCACUCCGCCUGGGGAGUACGGCCGCAAGGCUGAAACUCAAAGGAAUUGACGGGGACCCGCACAAGCGGUGGAGCAUGUGGUUUAAUUCGACGCAACGCGAAGAACCUUACCAACUCUUGACAUCUUCUGAUCACCCUAGAGAUAGGGCUUUCCCUUCGGGGACAGAAUGACAGGUGGUGCAUGGUUGUCGUCAGCUCGUGUCGUGAGAUGUUGGGUUAAGUCCCAUAACGAGCGCAACCCUUAUUGUUAGUUGCCAGCAUUCAGUUGGGCACUCUAGCGAGACUGCCGGUGAUAAACCGGAGGAAGGUGGGGAUGACGUCAAAUCAUCAUGCCCCUUAUGAGUUGGGCUACACACGUGCUACAAUGGACGGUACAACGAGUAGCGAUCCCGCAAGGGUUAGCGAAUCUUAAUAAGCCGUUCUCAGUUCGGAUUGUUCUCUGCAACUCGAGAGCAUGAAGCCGGAA
rnacentral:rRNA from 1 species